UACGUAGGGUGCGAGCGUUAAUCGGAAUUACUGGGCGUAAAGCGUGCGCAGGCGGCUUUGCAAGACAGAUGUGAAAUCCCCGGGCUCAACCUGGGAACUGCAUUUGUGACUGCAAGGCUAGAGUACGGCAGAGGGGGAUGGAAUUCCGCGUGUAGCAGUGAAAUGCGUAGAUAUGCGGAGGAACACCAAUGGCGAAGGCAAUCCCCUGGGCCUGUACUGACGCUCAUGCACGAAAGCGUG
rnacentral:rRNA from 1 species